UACGUAGGUGACAAGCGUUGUCCGGAUUUACUGGGCGUAAAGAGCGCGCAGGCGGUCGUUCAAGUCGAGUGUGAAAGCCCCCGGCUCAACUGGGGAGGGUCAUUCGAUACUGAUCGACUCGAAGGCAGGAGAGGGAAGUGGAAUUCCUGGUGUAGCGGUGAAAUGCGCAGAUAUCAGGAGGAACACCGAUGGCGAAGGCAGGUCUCUGGGCCUUGCCUGACGCUGAGGCGCGAAAGCUAGGGGAGCGAACAGG
rnacentral:rRNA from 1 species